rnacentral:rRNA from 1 species
UACGUAGGGUGCGAGCGUUAAUCGGAAUUACUGGGCGUAAAGCGUGCGCAGGCGGCUUGCCAAGUCAGAUGUGAAAGCCCCGGGCUCAACCCGGGAACGGCGUUUGAAACUGGCAGGCUAGAGUUUGGCAGAGGGGGGUGGAAUUCCACGUGUAGCAGUGAAAUGCGUAGAGAUGUGGAGGAACACCGAUGGCGAAGGCAGCCCCCUGGGCCAAAACUGACGCUCAGGCACGAAAGCGUGGGGAUCAAACAGG